UCGAACGUGGGGCGUGGCGCACACCCGCUUCAACUUGACCACCAGCAUCCGUUCAAGCGGGAAGACCGGGUUCAAUUCCCGGCGUCCGAA